rnacentral:ncRNA from 1 species
GGUUGGGUGGGCAAAGAUGCCUGCUUUCAAGAAAUUUGAUUUCCGGGGUGGGAAAUU